CCAACAAUCCAAUCGAAUCGGAGGGAGCAAUCGGAGUCCAAAGCCAACUGACAAGAUCUGUUCCGGAUCUUCCCCGUGUUUUAAGGCGUUCCGUUUGCUCUCGAUUGUGAUGCAUACAAAUGCCUAUCUGAGCUGCCGACUCCCCAAUUAGUCUUUCUUUUUGUACGUUUGUAAGCUGGCGCCAGUUUUGAGAGCGGCCCCGCGGGGACACCAAAGUAAGUGUUGUGCUCUAUACGUAUAUUUUUUAUAUCAUCAUUGCUGAAC